UUGAAAAUUUUGAUACUGUCAAAAAAUAAAUUAAGUCUCAUAAAAGCGACACAAACGGGUACUAACAAUUCUCUAUCAAAUGGCAUAAAUGAAAUUAAAUAAUCUUAAAUUGGGGUUCUGGCUAUUUUUUAACCAUUUUGUAUUUGUUUAUCCUUUGAGGUACAAACGAUUUCAACGGAGGUACAAACGGGUACAAACGAUUCUCUUUCGAAUGGCCUUGGCCGUUUCUCGAUAUCUUCGAAAAUGUCAAAAUUACCUCUUGAGCAAAUUUUGAAAUGCCUGUACUUCCGGUUCCUUUGAGGUACAAACGAUUUCAACGGAGGUACAAACGGGUACAAAUGAUUCUCUUUCGAAUGGCCUUGGCCGUUUCUCGAUAUCUUCGAAAAUGUCAAAAUUACCUCUUGAGCGAAUUUUGAAAUGUCUGUACUUCCGGUUCUUUUGAGGUACAAACGAUUUCAACGGAGGUACAAACGGGUACAAACGAUUCUCUUUCGAAUGGCCUUGGCCGUUUCUCGAUAUCUUCGAAAAUGUCAAAAUUACCUCUUGAGCGAAUUUUGAAAUGCCUGUACUUCCGGUUCCUUUGAGGUACAAACGAUUUCAACGGAGGUACAAACGGGUACAAACGAUUCUCUUUCGAAUGGCCUUGGCAGUUUCUCGAUAUCUUCGAAAAUGUCAAAAUUACCUCUUGAGCGAAUUUUGAAAUGCCUGUACUUCCGGUUCCUUUAAGGUACAAACGAUUUCAACGGAGGUACAAACGGGUACAAACGAUUCUCUUUCGAAUGGCCUUGGUCGUUUCUCGAUAUCUCCAAAAAUGUCAAAAUUACCUCUUGAGCGAAUUUUGAAAAGCCUGUACUUCCGGUCCCUUUGAGGUUCAAACGAUUUCAAUGGAGGUACAAACGGGUACAAACGAUUCUCUUUCGAAUGGCAUAAAUAAAAUUAAAUUAUCUUAAAGUGGGGUUUUGGCUAUUUUUUAACCAUUUUGUAUUUGUUUAUCCUUUGAGGUACUAACAAAAUAAAAGGUGGUACAAACGGGUACAAACAAAGUAUAAACGAGUUGUGUUGUUAAUUUUUAGUUUUUGUAAAGUCGGGUUCCAGGUUCACAUAGCUAUCGGCAGUCACUUUUGUAACCCGGCAUAUACCGAAGAAUUUCGUUAUCGCUUUCACGGAGUGAAAAUGUUCAGAGGUUUACUGUAUUCCGGCAUUCCGAGCUGCUGCAGCACCUACGUCAGAGACGUUUGCGACGACGCGAUUAAUAUAAAAUCCCGAGUCAUUCGAGAAUCAAAAGCGAGCGUUGAAUUUUUCUUUCGUAAACAAAGGAGGCGAGCGCGCGAGAGCGCGUUUUUUCCCGCAGCAUUCAGCUUUUAAUUUUAUUUUUUGCGCGACGGUUAUACGCCACCGCGGGCUCCACGGGGACGCGCUAGGUGCAUAUGAAACGCGAUACUUUUGACGGGAAUUUUUUUCCACGGUUUUGCUUUAUUGUUCCGCGAGAGUGAUUGGUAAUUGGUCGCGUCGAGGUGGCGCGUCCGUUCGCAAUGUCGCCAUUCGUUCGCGAGCCGCUCCCGUCGAAUACAAACGAACGAGCGAUGGAUGCGACGCGACCCGUAAGGCACACCGCGUUCGCCCUCUUUGUCGAUGAAAAAAAAUGCAAUUAAAAAUUUUCCGAGUAAUAUGGGUCACAGACGGCCAGUUCGUCUGUUUUUUGCGCGCUUCGGCCCGUCGAUUCGAGCGAAUUUCGCGGAGAGUCGUACAGUCGUGCACUGGGGGGGGGGGGGAAGGGGGGUGCGUGCGUCGUUUACAAUUUACGCCCUGGAAUUUGGGUUGUGCAAAUGACGAGAAAGAGGAGUCUGUAAUUUUAUUCUUUUUUUAAUUAUAACUCAAUUAUUAAUCGAAGAUUUUCAUAGAGUAUUCCGAAAGAAUCGAAUCAAUAAGUACGAUUCAAAUUAUAAUGUUAUAAAUUUUUUCGUGUAAGAGUAACUUUUGUACAUAAUAAUCAACGCACGGUUCCAAUUAUCGUUAAUAAAUAAAUUCGUAAAUUCCGAAGACGACUAUAGUAUAUAACCGCCGUGGAAGGUACAACAAGUAAAAUGGGUUUCAUCGUGAAAUGAAAUUUGCAUCAAGAUCGUACGAGUGGAAAUUAAAUGCAUGCCAAUGCAAAAGUUGUAUCUUAUAAAAUAAUAACGAAGAAACAAAAUAUCGAGAGCGCGUAGCACGGGAGGAGGAAUCGGAGGAAUCAUUUGUAAUUCAAUAAUUCCAGUUCGUUUGUAAUCCGGUAAUCUAUACUGCGGCUCGUUAUUCCUGCAUCAUAAUGAGUUUCGCGUUACUCGCCUUUUCUCGGCGCGGACAGCUGGAUAAUCCGCAGUAACGAAUUGUUGGUUCAACCAUGGCCGGUGCCGAGUUAUCUGGGUCGCGAUAUCAGCUAUGAAUUUUUUUUUUUUUUUUAAUAACGAAAAUAACAAAACGCAAAUUAUCAUCGGCGGGCAAACUCCACUCAUCUUUUUUAAAAGCUGUUAAAAGCCGAGACAAUGUGCACUGCACAUCUUUGAAAAAUACGUCAAACAUGAAAUUAUUAGAUUCGAAAAAAUAUUACGUAAUAUCUAGAAACCAAACAAAGAUCUCUAAAUAAAUCCAAGGUAAAGAUUUCAGAAAUCUUAAAAUUUAAGAUUAAGAUUAAGAUUGUCAUCUUAUCCUUUUUAAUCCUCUUUGUCUCAAAUAUUUCAUAUUUUUAUAUUUUUUUUAUAUCGUAAGUAUUUUUUUUAUAUAAGACGUUUCUAAUAUAUAUAUUUUUUUUUUGCCAGAAAAAGAUCGUCAACCGAUAUUCUUCCAUCACGCUUUCCGCACUUUUCAAUGAUAAUUUUUCCGAGAAAAAGCCGCAUGAAUUCGCGGCUUAAGUGGUUUUCGCGGCACGUUUACACUGAAUCUCGACAGUUGCCUAAUGGUCUUCUCACGCAGCCACCGUAAAAUAGAGAAAUCAUCGUAAAAGCAGCCAACGACGCGGCCACCCUUCCAUACCGCCGUCGAAGCUUCGGUAAGCGGGCGAAAUUUGAUUACUAAAUAAUUCGUACGACGUGAUAGUAAAUCGUGGGUGCCGGUUCGCGGCUCGCCCUAAGAAUACAAAUGAGGGAAACUUCUACGCGCGCACUGGCGAACGUAUAUUCGAGCGGCAUUUGUGAGUCAUUUGUGAGGAAGGCACAUCCUCGAAAAUACUAUAAUUAUAUUAUAAAAGAGCAAUAAACCGCAACUAUUGCAUGUGGUGUGUGUGUGUGUGUGUGUGUGUGUGUGUGUACAUACACACGCUAUACUAUCUUAAUAUAAUAAAUUGUUAUUCGUAAUAAUAAUAAUAAAAAACGGAAAGAAGACUUAAGGAUUACUCAUUUAAAGGAUUACUCAAAAUAAAAUCGACGACUAUAUUGGUAAACAAUAUUAAUAUUGUACGUGAAAAUAUUUAACUUUCGCGUUUGCGGAAAUUGUUUUCCGUCUACAGUGUAUGCGGUGCUUUUUAAUAAAAUGCGUUAGCAUUUAGAAUAUCCAAUAGACGAACCGAAGAGACAUUAAUUUCCAAUCGAUUUACUGCUAUAGCAAUUACGCGCGUUACAUGCAAAUUCGAUUUUACCCCGUUCGCUCGAUUGCUUAACAUAGUUGCAGCAUCACGUCUGCGAGUAUUUAUACUACAUCUCAUUGGCGAAGUGGUACAUCAAUUCAGUACCGACGAUGUUUUGUUAACGGUAAACGUUAUUGGCCAAUAGUGAUUUAGCAGCGGUCAACGAAAAUUCAUUCCCAUUAAAGAAUGAUUGACAUAACUGACGUUUAUAUGGGCUUUUACCCGUGACGUACGGCACAGUCGUAACGGUCACGGGGAUACUAACUGCUUUCCUCAAGAAGUAAUAAUUUACGUAAUACGCGAUGCAUAAUGUGCGCUGCAUUUUUACUCCUCUAACAUCUCGUACUUGGACAAUUUUUUUAACUCACUUCAUUGGUAGCAUGCACUUUUUUAUCCAUGUAAUUAUCGCUCGAAAGAAAUUACUUCUCCACUUUAUUAUUCAUGGCAUAAUAUAAGAAUAAAACAACUCUAUGCAGUUGCGUUGUCUACUUUACGCUUAAAUAUUAAUUUUUCACUUCUGCAGAAUUAUAUUAUAUUGACAUUUCCAUUUCUGGACAUAGCUCUAUAUGAUCAUGUACUAAAACACAACAUCUAUUAAAGAGAAGCAUACAGUUAUUAUAUACAUAAAUUUUUAUGAAAUUAUUUGUAACAAAAAUCUAAAAGGACAUUUACGAAAAAAUUUGUUACAUAUACAUAUGUCAUAACAUUUUAUUUCUAUCCAAAAAUAAACCUUUCGUUUCAAUUAUAAAACAAUUUAAAUAAAAAUAAAAAAGACUAAAUAAAUAGUCUAGUAAGUUAUUAAGUGCAAACAAAAAUUUCAUUAAAAGAUUUUUGAUUAAAAAAACUAGAAAAUAUAAUUAGAAAAAUAUAACGAUAAUAGAGUCUCGUGCGAGUACAAUUUCGCUUCAUUUAAGCAUUUCUAGUUUACAUUUUCUCUACACAUUUUAAACAAUGUACGUGGAAACGAUUCUCGGUGUGAUAUUAUUCGCAGAAAAUUGCGCGAACAUACGCAAAACUGAAAAAACGACGUCAUACAUUCGCGGCGGGCUAAAAAUCACGACGCUUCCGGUUUAUGUUUGCCAUUUCAUGACCGUCGAGACGAGCGGCGCGCGGCGUAUCCCUAUGUUAUAUUACUGCCGCGUAUUUAUGCGUGCGUAAAAAAAAAAAAAAAAUACACGUACGGAUAACGCGCUAAUACACGCAUGGCCCUUUCGGCCCGCCGUGCGCCGCGCCCCUACAAUGCGCUUUUACGUGGGAAAGUGCCCGUUUUUAAAACGACCGUGUAUGUUGAAAACAAGCCCUGAUAUUUUUUUCGGAAUUAUCAAUGAUUUUUGAUGACCCUCUAUAUCGUUUCGACUUUAAAAUGUUUCACAACUCUUUAUGUCGCGUAUCCAUUUCAUGAGUACAACAAUUCUGUUGAUGCCACCUAAGGAUUGUAAAUUCCGAAAUGUAAUUAAAAGCGACAGUAAAGCAGAUAACAUAAAAACACACAUAAAAUUCAACCUGUAACAGGAAAAAAAUAAAAAAUAUUUGUCCAAAUAUUUUUUGCGAAUGCUCGGUAGUUCAAAAUUUCUAUAACAACUAUAUAUGGUAUGAAUCAGCCAAUUUCUCCAUUAUUUCUACUUUUGCACGUAAUUUCGUUAAUUGUUUUCUUAAAUAAAAGUGUAGCAAGUUAGUUUUUCUCUCCUUCGUCGUGUACAACGACCAUUUCUCGUUAAUCGACGGAUAAGUUCGGCUUGCAUCCUUCGCAAAACUGCAGUUACAGAACUGCUAACUGCAGGCGCGAUACAGAUAGGACGGGGAAUGGCAGGGGAAGAACGACCAGAGGGAGAGAGCGUGGGUGCGCGCGGAAAUGCAGAUAUUUGCCAGGAAAUUGAUAACUCGAAUAAACUCGUCGCAAAACAUUCAAACAGGCUGCCAAACGGUACGAUUGUACACUCCAAUCCCCGGCUGCGAACCAAACACCGCAUAUCCCCUCGAUGCAGCGCAGCGGCUGUACCACCUACAUGCGUUCGUGGGAGUGAUGUGCGAGGACGGACGAUACAAUGCGCGUAUUACUUGCUCGCCGAUAUUCCCCGCGAACUGAUUACAGAACGAUUUGCUGGCGAUUUUGUUAUUUCAACUUCUAAUAAUCAUUAAAAGUCGCAAUAGUGAUAGCGAUUGAAGAAUUAUAUUGUCCCCCGUACUUCAUAGCACACUGAGGAAAAAAAUAUUGCUAAUUUGCCAAAAUUUUCCAACUAAAUUAAAAUUUUGUCACUUCAAGAAUUUCAUGCAUUUUACUUAAAUUUCAAUUCAAGUAUUUAUAUAAUUAAUUAAAAUAUAUAAAUAUUUGAAUAAACAAAAUUUAAUUCGGUUGAAAAAUUUAGUCAAAUUAACAACAUUUUUUUCUCAGCGCAAUAAAGGACGAUAACAUGUAUGAUACAAAUCGUAUUGGAACAUAAUGGAAAUGUGAAUAAUAUAUGAGUAUCAUUUAUAAAAAGAUUAAAAGAUUAGAAUUAGGUACCUUUAAUAAUUACCGGAAGAAAAGAGGAGUGAACGGAAAGUUAGCAGGUACUAAUCUCAUCUUGCAGGAACGUGAUUUCUUUCUUCCACCAAUAAUAAAUUGAGAAAUGGGAAACGAUUAUUGAAACGAUGAUAGUCGUUUAUAGCAACUAGUGGAUGCGACCAAAGCACACGCAUUACAGAGACGCGAGUCAAUAUUAACUUGAUAUUUUUGCCGCGCCAUUAGAGUCAAACAAACGCAAUGUAAAUUGCACGAUACAGUCGCGUAUGAUUAUUUGCCAUAAAUAGCGAUGAAGCACGAGCGCGAGCGUAUGUCAACCGCGUCUCUAUAUGCACCCUUCACGGAACGGCUCAAAAAGGGCGCGAGUGUAUAAUGAAAAUACCACACUAUACAUGGAGUAUAAAAUGGAUAUGUACGCGGCCAAUUCGCAUAAUAGCGCCGACGUUUGAGAUAUCAAACAAUAUAUUAAUAAUAUCUCCGGGACAUCACGAAUCACGAUUAGCAAUAAAUUUUAACGCGUCAAAGGGAUUUCAAAAUAUAAAGAGAUUCAGCUCAGCGAUGAAAAAAAUGUCGUUUCUUUGAAUUUAGAGCCUAUUCGAAUAAAAUUAGCGUGUAAAAGGCGUGGCUGUAAUUAAAACAUCACGCAGCGUCUCUCGCAAUUAAAAUUGAUCUUUCGCUCUCAAUCAUGUGAUUAAUUUUCCAUAAUGAUUGCUGUCCUGUUGCGGAACACGCGACGCGUCACGUAUCGCCACAAAGUCAGUAUCGACUAAUUAGCAACGUGCUAACGUCGCACUCGAGUGGCACUGAGCGCGGACGCGGUCAAAGGGCGUCGUUAUCUCUACGCACCGAACUACGCGGGAAUAAAAAAGAGAGAAAGAGAGAGAGAGAGAAGAGAAAACAGAAGGGGGAGACUUUUGCGACUCCGACCCCUUUUCUCUUUCGCAAUCAAACGAAAAUUAGCCGACGAAAAGCGAGCGAACUAACCAUCGCGCGUUUUUUCGCCGAUGGUUAAUUUGCACGGAGAAACGUGCGAUUCCUCACGAGGUUGCUGGAUACGGUGUAUACAGUCUGUUUUUUGAAUCUUGAGAACGGUUAUUCCUAUCUUAUAUUAUUAAUAAAAAAAAACUAUUAAUCAUCUUUUUAAUCAUCAUCAAAACAUUAAUAACCUGUUUAUGAAAAUUAGUGUCAUUUGAUACAAUUGUUAUUAGCAUAGGCAACACAAACCAAAUUAUCCUUUACUCUCAGGAAAACAAGGUAAUAAAAUUGAAAUAUUUUAAAUAACAGUAAACUAAAUAUAUUCCACUUUUUUAUAAUUUCUUUAACUGCAAUUUGUGUUAAGCUGAACGAAAUCUGACUAAAAUCUUCAGAAAAUAAUAUAAAAUCGUAUUAUAUAAUAUUAUAUUAAAAAUGACAAUUUAUCAACGCAAACCCGAAGGAAGGCGUACGUUAAAGAGCACGGAAAAAGCGGGCGGCGGCAGCGGCGUCGCGACCGGGGAAAAAUGGAUGGCUCUAUCUUUCGGUAAUUAAGACAACGUCGGAAAAUAAACAAAUACGCGGUAGAGAGAAAGAGUGAGGGAGGGAGGGAAGGAAGAAGGGGCGAGAGGCUGAGAGAGAGAGAGAGAAAGAGAGAAAGAAAGAGAAGCCCUCCGCGUGAAUACGUCUCUUCAGGGCUGUCCGUGGCACAGCUGUUACGUUUGCCGGGGGCUCAAAUAAACGACUUAGGUAGAUUAAGCAUACAAAUCUCGAUGAUUCCGCUCCUGGUGUAGCCAGGCUUUAACCCGCCUAUACGUCGGCCGGGUUAUACGCGAAAAAAUAUACGGGUAGUCCACCCUCGACCGCCCGCGACUCGAGAAAGAUCGCGUUCUCAAACAAUACGGCAUAUGUUUCUUUCUUAUCUCUUGAGAUAUAUACCCGUGGCGUGUUUUGAAAAUUUCGGGCAGCCUCAGCGCAGCUGAGUUUGUUUAACGGGGGAGAGAAUGUUUACGUGUCGAACGGAGAAAAUCCGCGUGGUUGUCUACGAAAUUACAGCUAAUAGGGUCACGUCUUUUCACGGAUCGACGUGAAGAUUUCAGUGGCGUGUUAUGCUCCUCUCGAAACAAUGCGCCAAUGUAUUAACGAAGCUUAGCGAACAACCGUAUUAGAGAAAAGAGUUUAAAAAAUCGCACGAACAGAAAUGAUCGAUACAAACAACGUCCAAAUAUCGAGCACACGAGGAGCAAAGUCAGAGAUCGCACGGGAAAAGGUCGAAUGUUAAU